AUGAGAAUACUAUGCUGUAACUGCCGUGGGAUUGGCGAGCCCGCGACAGUGAGAGAACUCCGGGAGCUCAUUAGGGAGAGUGCGCCGUCGGUGGUGUGUAUUGUGGAGACUCAGUUAGCAAAAAAACGUGUGGAAGGCCUGACUUCAGUGUUAGGUUUUGAUGGUGGUUUUGCGGUGGUGAGUUCGGUUACGAGUGGAGGUAUUGGUGUGUUUUGGAGGAAUGGGGUGAACUUGGCAGUAAAGAACUACUCUAGGUAUCACAUCGAUUCCUGGGUCUCCGAGCAAGGGAGAGAGGAUUGGAGGCUCACUUGUUUCUACGGGGAAGCAAAUAGAAACUUAAGGCAGCAAACUUGGGAUACAAUGGCACGACUUAGGGGAGAGUCCACUCUCCCUUGGUUGUGCAUCGGUGAUUUUAACGAGGUGUUGCGGAGAGAAGAACAAAUGGGACCUAAUCUCCGGGAUGUUUCACAGAUGGGAGGAUUCAGGGAAGCCGUUGAUUUGUGCGGUCUUGAUGAUUUGGGGUAUAUCGGCUUGGACUGA
rnacentral:rRNA from 1 species